AAUCUUCCUCAAUGGACGAAAGCCUGACGUAGCAACGCCUCGUGAGGGAUUAAUGUUUUCUGUUCGUAAAACUCUGUUGUUAGGGAAGAAUAAGUAUCGAAAUCACUGCCUGUACCUUGACGGUACCGGACGAGAAAGCCACGGCUAACUACGGGCCAUCAGCUCCGGUAAUACGUAGGUGGCAAGCGUUGUCCGGAUUUAUUGUGCGUAAAGCGCGCACAGACGGUCUUUUAAGUCUGGUGUGGAAACUUACAGCUUAACUGUAAGCGGUCAUUGGAAACUGGGAGGCUUGAGUGCAGAAGAGGAGAGUGGAAUUCCAUGUGUAGCGGUGAAAUGCGUAGAGAUAUGCAGGAACACCAGUGGCGAAGGCGACUCUCUGGUCUGUAACUGACGAUGAGGCGCGAAAGCGUGGGGAUCAAACU
rnacentral:rRNA from 1 species